rnacentral:rRNA from 1 species
UACGUAGGGAGCAAGCGUUGUCCGGAUUUAUUGGGCGUAAAGAGCGUGUAGGCGGCCAGGUAGGUCUGCUGUGAAAACUCGAGGCUCAACCUCGAGACGUCGGCGGAAGCCAUCUGGCUAGAGUCCGGAAGAGGAGAGUGGAAUUCCUGGUGUAGCGGUGAAACGCGCAGAUAUCAGGAAGAACACCCGUGGCGAAGGCGGCUCUCUGGGACGGUACUGACGCUGAGACGCGAAAGCGUGGGGAGCGAACAGG